rnacentral:lncRNA from 1 species
AACCUCGGUUUGAAUUUGACUCUUCCAGUAAUUGUUUCCUUUGGGGCUACCGUACUCGGUUACAGCCACAGGAACGUUUAUAGCCGCAGCGAAU